rnacentral:snoRNA from 1 species
CCCUUCUCAGGAGCACACCUGGAGAGUUUCCAAUACUCUACCAGUCUCGACUAGGGGAGGGAGAGUCAAACAGAGGCAUACCCAUUUCAUUCCUAGCUUGGGCAGUGGCUAGCUAGUGGAAGGCAAUCUGCUACAAGU